UACGUAGGGUCCGAGCGUUGUCCGGAAUUAUUGGGCGUAAAGAGCUCGUAGGCGGUUUGUCGCGUCUGCUGUGAAAUCCCGAGGCUCAACCUCGGGCCUGCAGUGGGUACGGGCAGACUGGAGUGCGGUAGGGGAGAAUGGAAUUCCUGGUGUAGCGGUGGAAUGCGCAGAUAUCAGGAGGAACACCGGUGGCGAAGGCGCUGCUCUGGGCCGGUACUGACGCUGAGGAGCGAAAGCGUGGGGAGCAAACAGG
rnacentral:rRNA from 1 species